rfam:Triticum aestivum genome assembly, contig: Triticum_aestivum_CS42_TGACv1_scaffold_147315_2BS
CAUAUACUCCCUCCGUCCGGAAAUACUUGUCAUUGAAAUGGAUGUAUCUAGAUGUAUUUUAGUUCUAGAUACAUCCAUUUUAAACCAUUUUGAUGACAAGUGAUUUCGGACGGAGGGAGUAAUAA